rnacentral:rRNA from 1 species
ACAAGCGGUGGAGCAUGUGGUUAAUCGAAGCAACGCGAAGAACCUUACCAGGUCUUGACAUCCCUGACAACCGAGAGAUCGGCGUUCCCCUCGGGGGACAGGGUGACAGGUGGUGCAUGGUUGUCGUCAGCUCGUGUCGUGAGAUGUUGGGUUAAGUCCCGCAACGAGCGCAACCCUCGACCUUAGUUGCCAGCAUUCAGUUGGGCACUCUAAGGUGACUGCCGGCUAAAAGUCGGAGGAAGGUGGGGAUGACGUCAAGUCAGCAUGGCCUUUAUGUCCCAGGGCCACACACGUGCUACAAUGGACGGUACAGAGGGACGCAAGACCGCAAGGUGGAGCAAAUCCUCAAAACCGUUCUCAGUUCGGAUUGCAGGCUGCAAUUCGCCUGCAUGAAGCUGGAAUUGCUAGUAAUCGCAGAUCAGCUACGCUGCGGUGAAUACGUCCCCGGGCCUU